rnacentral:rRNA from 1 species
GACGAACGCUGGCGGCGUGCUUAACACAUGCAAGUCGAACGGAAAGGCCCUGCUUUUGUGGGGUGCUCGAUUGGCGAACGGGUGAGUAACACGUGAGUAACCUGCCCUUGACUUUGGGAUAACUUCAGGAAACUGGGGCUAAUACCGGAUAGGAGCUCCUGCUGCAUGGUGUUGGUUGGAAAGUUUCGGCGGUUGGGGAUGGACUCGCGGCUUAUCAGCUGGUUGGUGGGGUAGUGGCUUACCAAGGCUGUGACGGGUAGCCGGCCUGAGAGGGUGAACGGGCACAUUGCUACUGAGAGAGGGCGCAGACGGCUACGGGACGCAGUAGUGGGGAACAUUGCACAAUGGGCGGAAGUCUGAGGUAGCAAUGCUGGGUGCGGGAUGAUGGCUUUUGGGUGGUAAACCGCUUUCGACGGUGAUGAAGAGUGAGUGACGGUAACGGGUAAAGAAGCAACGGCUAACUACGUG